UUCGCCAUUGGCCAGGGGGUCAAAGAGGCUUAAUCUGAAGGAGGCAUUCAGGUCAAAUGCUCAGAGUGGCCUGUUAGGACCUGGGCCACACGGGAGGAGGAAGGACGUUAAUGACACUCCAGGGACUAGAGAUAGACGUUAGAAGAACUACUACAUUUUUCUCCUCCCAAUAGUCUUACUGUGGCCCCGGGUCUAAGAUAAAUAAAAGAGGAGGAAAGACGUGAGUACCCCCAAGACUUAUAAGCCUUAAACUUUGACCAUGUGAACCCUGUGGGACUCGGGAGAGCAGAGAUGGAAGAGCACUACAGAGAUCCACACUCUUCCCUGAAGAAGGAAAUUUUCAGACGAAAUUUCCCGUCUGUAGUUUAAGUACAGCUGCUUUUGUGCUGGGACUUCCAGGGUUGGAUGCAAGCCCUGACUCUUCCGAGCCAUUUAGCCAUGGUCUCGACAGCUCAGGAAUGUUUCUUUGGUUUUUAAUGAAGCUGAAAAAGUUUGUUAGCUCUGGUGUGUUUGAACCUGUAAGAUUUCUAAGUCAGUCUGACUGAAUAGAAGU